GCUAGUAGGACUUUCGGGGACCAUAUAAUACAAUGAGUAAUCAAUGAACAUGAGGACUGGAAAUGGAAAUUCAGAAGUACGAACUGUCUUUUUGCAACAAUAAUAGAAGGAAGAUGCCAAUGGCUGACAAUAAUAGAAGGAAGAUGCCAAUAUCAGCUAUGCAAGGCGAGAACAAAUUUUCUGCCCCAUUGGGAUUACCUUUUCCGCCUUCUUAUCAUUAUAAUAUUUCUCCUACCAACUUCUAAUGCGUCUUUUUUUGUCGGUUGGAAAUAAGAAUUCAUUCCUGACGGAUGCUUUAAAAGCUCAUUAGAAAAAAUACAUAUAAUAAGGUAGCUGACGCUUAUAUACCACUUCAAACUUCUUUUUUUUGGCCGUUCAUCAGGAGCUGUUAUUUGGGACUCGCGUCUAACACGGAGGAGAUCUAUAGGGACCCCGGAGGACUUUCGGGGUGUAUACUCGACGCACGGCGCCUCCUAGAAGACAUUGAAAUCUGUAUUUCCACGUCUCUCACUCACCAAACACUGUGUCCUCUCUCCCUUUUGGAUCUAGUUAAGCACAACUACUAGAAAAAUACACCAGUGGCAACAGGAAAAGCAGUGGAGGAUCUCCAGCCAAUGGCCGAAGCUUAGCCAUAACAAUUCGUUUGCUAAAUCUCCAUGGAUAGGCCGAAAUAAGAGGAAAAUCCUUCUUAUGUUUGCUAAUCAUGUGGCGUUGUUUAUCUUGUGAAUGAUAAAGAAUAGUAUUGAUUAUAACAAUAUGACAUUGUAGCAUCAUCUAGGAGCAAGAGAAUAGGUUGUUGUUGUAGAAACACCAUUGAUGAGAGUUGUGGACUUCAUGCCCAACAAGUUUUUGAUAAAAUGUUUCAGUAUAUUUCAGUGUAUUUAUGUGUAUCGACAAACAAUAUAUCUAAUUUUUUAGUAUAUUUCAGAGUAUAAUUUCGUUGUA